rnacentral:rRNA from 1 species
AGGGUUUGAUUCUGGCUCAGGACGAACGCUGGCGGCAUGCUUAACACAUGCAAGUCGAACGAGAAAGCUUCUUCGGAAGUGAUUAAAGUGGCGCACGGGUGAGUAACGCGUAGACAAUCUGCCCUUCAGUCCGGGACAACUUUCCGAGAGGGGAGCUAAUACCGGAUGACAAUGUUUAACAUAAGUUGAAUAUUUGAAAGCUCCGGCGCUGAUGGAUGAGUCUGCGUCCCAUUAGUUUGUUGGUGCGGUAGCGGCGCACCAAGGCCACGAUGGGUAGCGGGUUUGAGAGGACGAUCCGCCACACUGGAACUGAGACACGGUCCAGACUCCUACGGGAGGCAGCAGUGGGGAAUAUUGCACAAUGGAGGAAACUCUGAUGCAGCAAUGCCGCGUGAGUGAAGAAGGCCUUUGGGUCGUAAAGCUCUUUUAUGGGGGAAGAUGAUGACGGUACCCCAAGAAUAAGCACCGGCUAACUACGUGCCAGCAGCCGCGGUAAUAC